GGGAAUGUGACUUAGUGAUGGAGUGCUUGCCUUGCAUGCAUGAAGCCCUGAAUUCCAUUCCUA
rnacentral:tRNA from 1 species